UGGGGAAUUUUGGACAAUGGGCGAAAGCCUGAUCCAGCAAUGCCGCGUGUGUGAAGAAGGCCUUCGGGUUGUAAAGCACUUUUGUCCGGAAAGAAAUCCUUGGCUCUAAUACAGUCGGGGGAUGACGGUACCGGAAGAAUAAGCACCGGCUAACUACAUGCCAGCAGCCGCGGUAAUACGUAGGGUGCAAGCGUUAAUCGGAAUUACUGGGCGUAAAGCGUGCGCAGGCGGUUUGCUAAGACCGAUGUGAAAUCCCCGGGCUCAACCUGGGAACUGCAUUGGUGACUGGCAGGCUAGAGUAUGGCAGAGGGGGGUAGAAUUCCACGUGUAGCAGUGAAAUGCGUAGAGAUGUGGAGGAAUACCGAUGGCGAAGGCAGCCCCCUGGGCCAAUACUGACGCUCAUGCACGAAAGCGUGGGGAGCAAACAGGAUUAGAUACCCUGGUAGUCCACGCCCUAAACGAUGUCAACUAGUUGUUGGGGAUUCAUUUCCUUAGUAACGUAGCUAACGCGUGAAGUUGACCGCCUGGGGAGUACGGUCGCAAGAUUAAAACUUAAAUGAAUUGACGGGGUCAUAGCUGUUUCCU
rnacentral:rRNA from 1 species